CUGGAGUCUACUUUGAUGCUACAUCUGUUGAGUUUCGUAAAGUUUCUGUAAAGUUUUGCUGGGAGCCAUAAGCUCGAGCCUCACAUCCAGUGAUGGUGCUACCACACUCCGAUGGUCGUCUCAUUCCUCACCAAUGAUAAAUGAUUAGUUGGAUGAAAUCAGAUACGUCCUGUUCACAUCUGACACAAGAUGGGAGGGGCAGAGGGGCCUAAUUUUAUAGUGACCCGACCAUUGACCUUGAUGUGGAGCAGAGCCCAUGGCUCCCAGCUUGCAGCCUGAUGAUUCCAAAUCAAACCGGAUGCCACCACCUCCACUUCGAAAGAAUCUCAACAACCACAAGUACGAACCGCAACUGUAAAUAGUGGUACUUCAUUUCCAAUCCCUAAUUAGCGGCUAAAUUUCUCUUCUUUUUCCUUUCUUUUUCUUAUGUUUUAGGAUUUUUAUCCUUAUUUUUGCCCAACUUGAGUACCCUAAAUCCGAAACCGUAACAUCUGGUACAUUCAGAGGGUCAAGCGUAACUUACAUCCCUGUGUUACUCGGCAGCAAACAGUUGGUGGCAAGCAUACUCUGCAACUUGUCUUGUCUCUAUGAGACUCAGCCCUGCGCACUAAUCUUGCCUGGGUUAUUUAUAUUGCGGCAUAAUUUUGCCCCGGUUGUUUAUAAUGCGUACGAAUGCCUUCUAACAUUAUGCACCGUUAACAUUAUGCUGACAUGAAUUCAUUCCUCGCAAAUCUCUCCGACGCAGCUGCCACCACCUCAGCAAGGGCACACAGAUCUCGCACAUCGCGCAAUCUGAGGAUCCUAUGACGCAGACAACACAUCCCAUUCGAGGUAUUCUUUUCAUAGGUGCUCACUGACAAGUUGUUGUAGGAAGUCUAGACUGCUCCGAACACGCCGUGCUUUGCUAGUCCCUGGAGUAGCAUCAGUCAUGAUGUUCCCCAUGCGUGAUUCAUUUCGGAUGCCAUGUGCAGUGCUGGUGGAAGCAGUUCGAAUCAGGUGUUCAUCAUGAUGGUAAUAAUUCAUGGAGGCCAGAUGAAUGUUUUGGACAACAUGCUAUUGAGUUGGAUGUGUUUAUGCA
rnacentral:lncRNA from 1 species